rnacentral:rRNA from 1 species
AUUGAACGCUGGCGGCAGGCCUAACACAUGCAAGUCGAGCGAGCGGCGGACGGGUGAGUAAUGUCUGGGGAACUGCCUGAUGGAGGGGGAUAACUACUGGAAACGGUAGCUAAUACCGCAUACCAUCAGAUGUGCCCAGGUGGGAUGAGCUAGUAGGUGGGGUAACGGCUCACCUAGGCGACGAUCCCUAGCUGGUCUGAGAGGAUGACCAGCCACACUGGAACUGAGACACGGUCCAGACUCCUACGGGAGGCAGCAGUGGGGAAUAUGGCACAAUGGGCGCAAGCCUGAUACAGCCAUGCCGCGUGUGUGAAGAAGGCCUUCGGGUUGUAAAGCACUGUCAGCGGGGAGGCGUUACCCGCAGAAGAAGCACCGGCUAACUCCGUGCCAGCAGCCGCGGUAAUAC